rnacentral:rRNA from 1 species
UACGGAGGGUGCGAGCGUUGUCCGGAAUCACUGGGCGUAUAGGGCGCGUAGGCGGCGCGGGUAGUCGUCGGUGAAAGCUCAGGGCUCAACUCUGAGUCGGCCGGUGAUACUCCCGUGCUCGAGCACUGUAGAGGCAGGUGGAAUUCCGGGUGUAGCGGUGGAAUGCGUAGAGAUCGGCAGGAACACCCAGGGGGAAACCAGCCGACUGGGCAUCUACUGACGCUGAGGUGCGAGAGCGUGGGGAGCGAACCGG